GGAUACAUAAUGUAAAAAUUAAUUUAAAAUCCGCAAACCCAUGGCGAGCUGCAACUUAGCUUAUCAAAGCGUAAAGAUCAUGGCACAGUAUGUGAUUGGUCUUGAUCCAGUGAGAAAGACAAUGGAGCUUCAUUUCAUUCGUACCCAAAAGGAGAAAUUAGGAAUUUGCACAUCUAUGAACCCAACUUUUGCCUUUAACCAUAGUCCACAGCAAAAUUGAACGGGAUGUAAGCUUAAAACUUUAGGUCUAUUCAUUAGUUCGGAUGAUCCAGUGGCUUCAACAAUUUCCUCUGGAAUCCAUUACUGGCAGCAACAAGUUUUAAUGCAGGAACUGAAAAUCUGAUCUUUGACGAAGGAGGGGAGGUGGUUCGACAUCAGACAGGUUGAUAAUGUGAAAGGAUCGUGAUAUUUCUUCUAUAGAGAAUGGUAAAUUGCAUCACAUGUGAUGAUGUUAGGAACAUGCUAAUUUAUGAUGUGUCAUGUAUUCUGCUGCAGACAUUGCUCUUCUCCACUUUGGUGUUGUCAAUCACUGGUACUUCCUUGAUAACUGGAGGAGCUUGUUCAAUGGCUAUCUUUGCUGCUUCUUUCUCAUGAAUGAUUGCAUCAUGGGCUUCGUCUAGUUGUGUUUGCAUUUCUUGCUUACCUUAAACCGCGUGCCAAUGGAAGAGAACUUGGACUGCUUGGAUGAUUCUUCAGGCAAUGGAGGGAAGAGGUUUGCAACGAAAGAGCACUUAGAGUCCAUCAGAAGAGCUUGAAAUUCUGCUAUCACAUAGUCCUUGUUUUUGUCAAGGAAGUGAUCUGCUUGGUAGUUAUGCCGUUGAAAAGAGGAAGUUUGCUUACCAAGCUUCAUCAAGAAGAGCAAUAAUGCCUCCAGGUUUCUGCACAUAUGAUGCAAAAUCAUCG